rnacentral:rRNA from 1 species
UCAGUCGACUCCUACGGGGAGGCAGCAGUGGGGGAAUUUUGGGACAAUGGGCGCAAGCCUGAUCCAGCAAUGCCGCGUGAGUGAAGAAGGCCUUCGGGUUGUAAAGCUCUUUGUCAGGGAAGAAACGGUGGGAGCUAAUAUCUCCUGCUAAUGACGGUACCUGAAGAUAAGCACCGGCUAACUACGUGCCAGCAGCCGCGGUAAUACGUAGGGUGCAAGCGUUAAUCGGAAUUACUGGGCGUAAAGCGUGCGCAGGCGGUUUUGUAAGUCUGAUGUGAAAUCCCCGGGGCUCAACCUGGGAAUUGCAUUGGAGACUGCAAGGCUAGAAUCUGGCAGAGGGGGGUAGAAUUCCACGUGUAGCAGUGAAAUGCGUAGAUAUGUGGAGGAACACCGAUGGCGAAGGCAGCCCCCUGGGUCAAGAUUGACGCUCAUGCACGAAAGCGUGGGGAGCAAACAGGAUUAGAUACCCUGGUAG